CUCUCUCUCUCUCUCUCUCUGUCUCUCCCCGUCCCCCUUUCUCUCUGUCUUUUUCAGAGAAUGACUGGCUGCCCAGCUUGAGGGAGUGCAGUCAUCAGAUAGCCUCAAGGUGUCAGCUCCAUUAGGGUUUGUCUCAGCUGCCAAGAGACGUCUUGCUGGAGUUACUGCUAUCAUUAUUGGAAAUUACUCAAUGAGUUCUUCCAGAAACAAAAGGGGAGUGUAGAAGACUUAAAUUCAGAUAACAAAGUAUCCACAUGCUGCUGUGAGUAAUACUUCUAGCCCUACUUUCUACCUUUUAUUUAUUCCUUCUUGAGGAAGGAGGGCAUAUUAGUUUGGUGACAUUGAGUAAAGCUUUUAUAAACUUUCAUCUGAGGCUCCUUCUCCUUUCAUAGCAUCCUGAGUGAACCUUCUGCCAUAAGGUGAAGAAACCCUGCUUGGUGAGUAACCCUUCCA
rnacentral:lncRNA from 1 species